rnacentral:misc_RNA from 1 species
UGUGGGAGCGAGCCUGCUCGCGAAGGCGUCAGUUCAGUUGAUGUAUCUGUUUGCUGACACACCGUCAUCGCGAGCAGGCUCGCUCCCACA